UCGAAAUCCAAUAUGGCGGACAAAGGUUACAUAUUAAGCUGAAAGUUUACAAAGUUCUUUAUAGGUUUACACAGUAUGUAUAAAGGAGUAAGUAAAUGUUGGCUUACAAAAUAUAGUCCGUCAACCUUAAACUUCCAGGUAACAUAAUUAAUACUACUGCAACCUAGAUUCAUACAGUACAUUCUAUCAUAAACAUUUAACAUUGGGUACAUUAGGCCAAGUAAAAAAAUUCCCGGUUUCUCAUCAGACGUUUUUUAAAAUGCAAGUGCGGCGGGCGGUUUUUAUUUUUUAUAUUAAACAACCAGUUAUUUUUUAACAACAGAACUUAAAUUGUUUAAUAAAAACCAUUAUUCUACCAUGUAUAUUUAUUUAAAAUAUAGUAUUUAUAAAAAAAACAUGAGGUUGGCGGCCAUUUGCAUAAAAUAUUGCACUGCUGACCACCCACCGCUAAAUAUUUCAUGUAAUUGUUAUUUAUAAAAAAAAAAUACAAAUGCGGCAGCUAUUUCCUAAUGCAGGCGCUGAUGAGAAACCGGGAAUUUUUUUUACUUGGCCUUUUAAUAGAAUACAAAUAUUUAUAGAGAAGAUACAAUACCAUUUUAAUAGUAACUACAUGUAGAUGUAAUGUACAAUUUCCUUUAUAUGUUUUUACAACAGAUGCUAAAAAGAAAUGUAUUUCGUCCAAGUCCAAUGCAUUCAAAUCUAAAUGGUCAACAGUUGCAAGAUUCGCGUGGUAAGAAUUUAUA